AUAAACAAUAAUUUAGGGAUAUUGUUAAAAUCCAGACUUUGAUUUAGUAGGUUUAGUAGAAUGAGUAGAAUGAGAUUCUGCUUUUCCAACAAGCUCCCCAGUGAUGUUGAU
rnacentral:miRNA from 1 species